AGAAUUGAUCUUGGUCAGGACGAACGCUGGCGGCGUGCCUAACACAUGCAAGUCGAGCGAGGAGAUCCUUCGGGAUGAUCCUAGCGGCGGACGGGUGAGUAACACGUGGGCAACCUGCCUCAUAGAGAGGAAUAGCCUUCCGAAAGGGAGAUUAAUACCUCAUAACAUUGCAGUUUCGCAUGGAACAGCAAUUAAAGGAGUAAUCCGCUAUGAGAUGGGCCCGCGGCGCAUUAGCUAGUUGGUGAGGUAACGGCUCACCAAGGCGACGAUGCGUAGCCGACCUGAGAGGGUGAUCGGCCACAUUGGGACUGAGACACGGCCCAGACUCCUACGGGAGGCAGCAGUGGGGAAUAUUGCACAAUGGGGGAAACCCUGAUGCAAGCAACGCCGCGUGAGUGAUGACGGCCUUCGGGUUGUAAAGCUCUGUCUUCAGGGACGAUAAUGACGGUACCUGAGGAGGAAGCCACGGCUAACUACGUGCCAGCAGCCGC
rnacentral:rRNA from 1 species